GCGGGCGUAACUCAAUGGCAGAGCGCCAGCCUUCCAAGCUGGAUACGUGGGUUCGAUUCCCAUCGCCCGCUCCA
rnacentral:tRNA from 1 species